rnacentral:rRNA from 1 species
GUGCCAGCCGCCGCGGUAAGACGAACCGUGCGAACGUUAUUCGGAAUCAUUGGGCUUAAAGCGCGUGUAGGCGGGUUCGUGCGUCCGACGCUGAAAUCCCCCGGCUCAACCGGGGAACGGGCGGGGAUACGACGAGCCUGGAGGGGCGUAGGGGGACCUGGAACUUCCGGUGGAGCGGUGAAAUGCGUUGAGAUCGGAAGGAACGCCCGUGGCGAAAGCGAGGUCCUGGACGCCUACUGACGCUGAGACGCGAAAGCCAGGGGAGCGAACGGGAUUAGAUACCCCCGUAGUCC